rnacentral:misc_RNA from 1 species
GAUGAAGAACGUAGCGAAAUGCGAUAAGUAAUGUGAAUUGCAGAAUUCAGUGAAUCAUCGAAUCUUUGAACGCACAUUGCGCCCAUUAGUAUUCUAGUGGGCAUGCCUGUUCGAGCGUCAUUAAGUCCACUUAAGCCCUGCUUAGUGUUGGGAGACUGCUCCAGCGGUGCUACCCUGUAGCUACCCUGCAGCUCCUCAAAGACAGCGGCGGAGUUGUGGUAUCCUCUGAGCUUAGUAACUUGUUCUAGCUUUCGAGUACACCACUUCCCCUGCCGUAAAACCCUUAAUUUUUAAUGGUUGACCUCGGAUCAGGUAGGAAUGCCCGCUGAACUUAAGCAUAUCAAUAAGCGGAGGA